AUGGGUGGCAGGGCAGAGGCAGGGCUGGGAGCCCCCUGCUGGCCUGUCUGGGCAGGACGCCGCAUCUGCGGGGACUUCAUGCAUGUGGCAGUGCCCUGGGAGCAGCGGGCAGCCACGUCCCAGGUUCACAGCCCAGGCUCCAGCCUGGCAUCAAAGGCAGCGCCACGGCCAAGUGGGCUUGGCACUGUGGAGAGCAGUUUCCUGGACAAGGCCAGGCCCCUGGCGCUGCCCAGGGACAAAGGGCAGAGAGGAGGCCGCGGGCUGGAGGCUGAGCCACUCUGCCCUCCUCUCCCACCUUUCCUGGGGCCUGGCCACCCGAAGUGGAUCAGCGCUGCUGUCCUGCAGAAGGUGCUGUGCUGGCUGGGGUCCUCUGAACCUGCAAUUUCCUGGGAUGUCACCCGUGGUGCCUCCUCCGUGAGCCGUAAGUUGGGAUGGCAUCCCAUCAACAUUUCUGUCUGCCUCACCAUCCCUUGGGAUGCAGGUGGCUCUCUGGGGUGUGCCCAGGGGUGGGUAUCAGGUGACCUCCAUGACGGGCGUGGGCUCCCUUGUCCUCCACUCAGAGGGGCUUAGCCAGCUCCUGCCUGCUCCCCUGCCUUCCUGGCUGUGUCUGGUGGCAGUCGCAUGCACCCGUCCACUGUGCCCCUGCCUCCCUCGCCCUGUCCUUCUUCCUCCCUUGCUGCCCCUUACCUGUCCCGGUCGCUGACGUCUCUGUCUGUGGGACACGGACCCAGUGCCGUGAGUCCUGUCAGAACAGGCACUGUGUGCUUUUCGGGGAUGGACAGACGUUGCACCUGUCUCCCCCAACCAAGGACUUCCUGUUGGGGCAGUGGUGGGGGCCGGGAUGGCGCCCCUUCCUGCUGGGUCCCAGCACCAUGGGACAUAGGUGCUCCUUGCAGGGUGCUCUGCCAGUUUCCCUCAGGCCUCUCUCGGCACUUUGAUAUUUGAGUCAUUCCGUUUGGAGGCCAUGACUUCUGAUUCUCGCCGAUUUCCUCUUUCCAGUUACUGAGGGUCCAGGCCUUCCAGGAGCCUCGUGAGUGCAUUUGAGCCCUCGCCACCUCUGGUUCUUCCCGUGUCGAGGAGGGGUUCCUCUUACGGCAGCUCUGCACGGCCUUGGGUAGUCACGGUGCAAAGUCACAGGGAAACCGAGGCACAGAGUGGCCAGGCCCUUCCCUCCCUCAUGCCGGUGCACAGGGACUGAGCUCUGUGGCUGGCUGGUGCACCUGCCAGAGAUGGGCUUGUGGCGGCUGCCUCUGAGGCCCGAUGGUUUGUGGAUGAUUUCAGGGUCUGGGAGGGAAGCAGCUGCCGUGGCCACUCAGGGUAGGCAAAGCCAGAGCUGUGGCAUGAAGAGCCAGGGCACAGCCCGGAUCAAGGCCUUGGAGCAGAGAAAGCCAGGUGCCACCAUGUGACAGGUAGGGGCGGAGGCAGGUGGACCGCUUUGCACCACUGCCCUGGGAGAUUGGGCCCUGUCUACCGAAGUCCACGGAGAAGACUGGUGUCUCCUGCCCUUUCACAGACACAGAAGCUGGGGCACAGGGUGGGAAGCCAGGGCCCUGGCCGUCACCCCAGACGCCUGUCCCAGCGAGGAAGGUGGGAGCUGGCGGGCAGCAGGCUGGCUGCGGAGGGUGGACCUGGCAGGUCUGCUCCCAGAGCCACUGCUUCUUGUUCUGGAAAACAGCCUACUCUCUCGGAAGGAAGUAGCAUGACCCCUGCUGGGGUGUGGUUGCUGCCACUCUCGAGCACCCCAGGACCUGUCCCCCAACUCUCAGGCUGGGACCAUCAGGCUGGGCAGGUGGGGUGCCAGUGAGGGUGGAGGGGCCCGCGAGGCCCAGCAGGCAGGAAGGCAGGUGCCCUGAACAGGCGAUUCUGGUGUCAGUGAGACCCCAGAGGCCGCCAGGGUGGCCCAGCCCAGCGUCCCCAAAGCCCAGGGACAAUCACGUCCCACUCACCUGGGGUCAUUGCAGGGGUGACACGGAGAGGUUGCCCUCUACCACUUUCCUUCUAUGGGGUGGACGCCAUUCUGGGGUUCAGGUCUGUGGUGUGAGGCCCAGCUGAUGGCCCUGGCAAUGUCAGCUCCUCCUCUGGCCACCAGGAAAGGAGAUUCUGAAGUGGGCCACAGACUGCCUUGAGGAUGAGCCGCUAGGAGGAGGGUGUGGCAUCUGGGCAGGGACGGCCGCCUUAUGAGUGCAGAGGUGUGGGUGGGGGCCUCUCCUGGGGUGGCAGGGAACUCUCAGGCACAGAGCCGGCUGGAUGCUGGUUUAGCCUCACCAGAGCCCAAGGUGGCAGAGGGGCUGGUGCAGUCUCUGGCCUGGCCAGGAGAGGGCACGCAUGGCCUGCUUCUCCUCCUGGACCUUGCUGCUCCUUUCUCCUCCUGGAGCUGACUGAGCGCACAGGACUCUUGAGGGACUGGGUUUUGUUUCUCACAGAUCUGGAGGCCUGGAAGAACCAGACUGUGCCUGGCACCCAUCAAGGGCCUGGAUGAGGAGCACUGCAGGACGAGGGUCGGGAGGGCUGGGUUCUCCAUGGCAGCAGAGGAGGGGAGGAGCCGUCGCUCUCUCCCCAGACAGCAGCCUGGGCCCUCAUCCUCCAGGACAGUGCCGUCCCAGACCCUGCCCUGCCAAGAGGACGUAGCUGGCACUGCCGGCCACCUCCUGGUGUGCCUGCUCCUGCUCCUGUCCCCAUCCUCUUCCGCCUCCUGCUGUUCUUUAUAAGGACCCCCCCAGCUCCCUGGGGACAGAACAUGUGUGGCUCUGUUCGGGUGACAGCUGUUUCCAUGCUGAGAAGCAUCUUGCUCCUGUCGCUUAUCCUCCACGUUGGACAUCCCUGCUUUGGCCCAUUUCUCAGCCUUGUCACUGGCAGGUGGCAGCCAGGAUGGAGCCACCUGGGUCAGGACGCUGGGACCAGUUCUCUGGGCAGGUGUUGGCCACGGGGAAGGUCCCAGGACCACAGUGCUGUCUGCCAGCACAGUGGCCCUGUGAAUGAAGAGGGAGCAGAGAGAUCUGAGACAGGCAGCUUCUGGAGGAGCUGGUCCUGGGCAGGGACGUCGGACUGCCUCGCCCUCUCCUUGUGAGCACGCCUCCUGUCCCUGCCAGGGAGUUACAGGCUGCAGACCUGUGUGCACCAGACGGAGGACAGGGACUACACGACCCCACGCUGCAAGCUGCAGGGACUGUUUCAGGUAGUUCUGUCAGAGAUGCCUCUCCUGCUUAGGGUGUGAGAGGCUACCUGUCCCCACAGCCAGGCCUGGAUGGGGCCAGCAAGCGCCCUGCACCCACGCUGGGUGGGGAGUCUGCGCCUCCCUGGCUGCGGGCUGCGUCCCAGCUGGGCUCCUGAUGCUGCCUCAGGGCCUCAAGCAGCUGUGUCCUCCGGGCUGGCUGAGUUCCAUGGAAGCUCAUUUGUGGAGUUUAAAUUUCAUACUAAAAAUAAAUAAAUAAAUUCCAUACUGUUCGCGCACCAUAGAAUAGUGCCCUGAUUUUCCCAGAGGUUUAAGGGUGUGAGCAGCCGUGAGGGCAGCUGUGGGGCACAGGCGCCUCUGGCAGCAGAGUGUGGGUCAUGUGGAAUUAACUCACAACCGCCAGGCCCAGCUCCGGGAAGAGUCAAAGACCCCAAGCUUCUUGCGCAGCCGCUCGGUGUGACCCCUGCUGUCCUCUGUGAGGUCUCAGGAGCCCCUGACACCACUGGGCCAAGCCUGAUGCUCCGUGUCUGGCAGUUUCUGAGGUAUAGGAGGGUGGUCAUGCGCUCAGCACAGGUCCAGCUCUUUCCCUGCCAGUCUCUCUCUCUCUCUCUCUCUCUCUUCCCCCAGUCCCUCUCCCUCUCCCUCUCCCCUGCCCUCUCUCUCUCUCUCUCACUUUUUUGAGACAGGGUCUCCCUGUGUAGCCCAGGCUGGCCUUGAACUUGGAGUGACCCUCGGGCCUCAGCCGUCCAGAUGCUGGGUUUACAGGAGUGAGCCACUGCGCCUGGCUUUUGUUUUCUCUUUAGCUGACCCUGGAGAAGGUGGUCCUCUGUUCUCAGGCUGUGACCCCCAAACUGCGUGUUUCCUGCCUAGGGUGGCGGCCAGGCCUGCUGUGGAGGGAGAGUGGAGCCUCACCCCUCUGCAGCCCCCAAGCUCCUGUACUGCCCUGCACCCCUGCUGCCUGCAGGCCUCCACCUGGGACCCAGAGCCUUUGCCUUCCCUUCCCUCGCUCCCGCAGUCCCUCCACUUGGUGGUUCAUUUACUGCUCAAUCUGUGAUUAAUUAAAACAAUUUAAAUCACUCCACUGCUGCUAAAUUAUUUCAGAGCCUCCUCUGAGCGCACAUGGCUGCACUUGGGCUUGUCAGCCACCAGGGGGAGCCAUGGCCCGAUGAGCAGAGUACCUGUGCUGCGUGGCCUCUUGAUGCUGCUAGAAAUCCCAGAUGAUCCAGAAUAGGAGAUGCCAGGGCGGCCCAUUCCCCAAGUCAGAUCCCGCA
rnacentral:lncRNA from 1 species